GUCAUUUUAUUUCACAUUAGCGCGGCUGGCGUGUGUGUGUGACGAGAGAGAGAGAGAGAGAGAGAGAGAGCGAGCGAGGAGGAGAGCCGUACCUGAGCGCGGAGGAGGAGGAGGAGAAGAUGAUGUGGUCAAGUUACGCGGGGGAUUCGGGACUUCAGGCCAGGUUCUGGAUAAACGUCGGUUGCUCAGCCGGUAAGAUUGUUCCUACACCAAUGAUUUCCACGGGCUACAACUUAUAUACCUUUGAGCUCAACACUAACUCUGCACAAAUAAAUUAGUGGGCCCACAGCUACAGCAAUUUUAUAAAUUAAAUUUCUGGCCGGAGUAUUUUUUUAAUAUUAUUUUAUACAAAUUGUCAACUGUUUUUUUUAUACAUAUAUAUAUUUUGUCAAAUUUUGAUAUCAAAAUAUAUCAUACAAUUGUGUGAGUUUCUGUGUGUGAAGUCAAUCAUUUUCCAUAGUCAAAGAGAUAUCAGUUAUGUUGUCAGGACUGAGCAUGAGAGGACACAGGAGUUAUUUCUCGGGCAAAAUUACGAACAAAAAGAAUAAGACGACACUGGAGAGAGUAAAACUCAGGAAGGAUCGUGAUGUUACUGCAGAGAAGACUGUAAACAUGUGGCGACGAGUGACUGCAGACCCACAGAAUAAGGAGGCUGCGCGCGCCAACGACGCAGUUUCACAGAGGAUUUGAAGAGAUUUUCCUUUGCAUCCUCACGUCUGAGUCUGCUUUGAGGUCUUCAAGUGUGAAGUUGUGGUUCAGGCUAAUUCCAUCAUCUAUGGUCUGGACCAAAGUCUCCAGACUUCAUCAGGAGUUCACGAUUGCAAACGACUUUUCCUUGAGAGGCGGUUGAACAAAGACGGAGGGGGAAAUUCGUCAGAGCUGUAGACGUUCAUUGCCUUUCGUGACGCACUCACUCCCCCGGGACUCGAGUCUUCCUUCAUCACCGGCGUCUGGAGUCGGAGCCGAUAAACACCAUCGACUGCAGAGAGUGGUUUGACCCUGAGAAAAAAAAGAGUGAUUGCAGAUCAUUGCCUUUUCAUCCUGAUAGCUAAACUCCCAUGUCAGUGGGUAUUAGAGGGGUUUAUUUUUGUAAGGUGUGAAGGGAGCUUAAGGGGAAAACCAUCGAGACAGACAGCAGAGCUGUGACUCACGAGGCAAACUUUAUUACACCGACUGCUCGUCCCUCUGUACUUUAUCUCAGAGGACGGACAGAGUUUGAGCGGGGCCGGACGUCAAUCACUCGACUCUCCCACGUUAAAUGUCGGUUCAAGUCGAGUCCUUUAAAUUAAUAUUGACUCCUGGACCUGCUCAGGAUGGACCGCACUUACACAGGAGAGGAUAUGGCUCAAGGAAAACAUCUCCUAUGUCCUAAAUGUCAACCUCUCCACAGAAGAAGACUUGUUUUUUACCUGGAUGAUUCCUGACAUUAUGACAGCAUUAAUCCACUGAGAUGUUCUGAGUAAGACGAGGACGACGAGCGUCGAGGACGACGAGCGUCGUGGAAGACGAGCGGGAGAGACGGGAUGACGGAUGCUGGGAAUAAAUGAGAAGGAAAGAGACAGAUUGAGGCAGGAAAUACGAGAUUGGGGAGGAAGGAGAGGAGUGGAGGGAACGACGAGGAGAAGAAAUAUGUACUUCCUGACGGGGGAGAUGUGCUGAACGUUACAAAAUGAUUUGCAGCAUAGAAAAAAAGUGCAUAAAUAAACAGUAGUUUCUGCAGAAAUCCACUUGAGGAAUCUCAGAAUACACGGCACAACUUCCCGCUCAUCUCUGAAUAAUGCAUGUCAAUAAAUUAGUUGUUUGCAUUAUAAAACAUCCUGGAUGUGAGCCUGUUGAUGCUUUCAUGUGACAGUUGAGGUACAAUUGGUAUUUGCAUGCUACAAACAGGAAGUUGACUCUCCUCUGCAGUUAUUUGCUGUUAUUUGUUUCAAGUAUUUUCAACGAGUAUCAUCAAUGUUCCAAUCCAACAUGGAUUUCUUUUAUCGGACUGACAAAUUAAAGAAAGUGUUUUUAUUCACAGCUGGUACCGUUGAGUUUCACCCUUUGUUUCACAAGUCUUUCAUAUUUACAGAACCACAGUGACAUUGUGAUGAAAAAAUCCCCAAAUUACGUGUAAUCUGAUCAAAACUUGUGUUUUUUUUCAGGCUGUUCCACUUAGAUU